rnacentral:lncRNA from 1 species
GACGAAGAAGAAAUAACAAAUAUAGAGAGAAACAUUAAACAAGGUGGAAGAAGAGGAAUCAAAGAAACAUAGAAAAUCAUUGUAAAACAUUUAGGUGGAAUUGACCAUAAAGAGCUUCAUGCCUUCAUCAAUCGAAAUUCUUCUUCUUUUUAUCCUCAUUCCUUGUAUCCAUGUUUUUAUCUCCAAUCUCUGUUGAUGGUGUGAAACUGAAUCGAUUUAGCAGCGAAGUGGGGGAGAUUCGUCAGAAAAAUUCUUCAUCAACUUCUAUUUCUUGAGAGUUUUACUUCCUUUUAGAUUUUAAGUAGACGCAUAUCCUCUUAUGUCUUGAGACGUUCUGUUUCCUAACAAAGAAAGACCAUUCUACCAUGAAUAAGUCUAAUUUUUCAAAAAAUGAAAAAAGAUGAAGAGGAAAAAGAAAGAUAUACUUCUUCAGAAAAUUUUCACCGAAUCUAAAUAGCAACCCUGCAUAAGAACAAUACCCAUCAUUAUGACUCAUAAGACAAGAAAGUUAGAGAAACUAAAAGAGGAAGAAGAACCCAUGAAUGAGCAUUCACAACAAAAAGACGAAGAUGCUUAAUUUUCG